rnacentral:rRNA from 1 species
UACAGAGGGGGCAAGCGUUAUUCGGAAUUAUUGGGCGUAAAGGGCGCGUAGGCGGCCUGGCAAGUGGAAGGUGAAAUCCCUCGGCUUAACCGAGGAACUGCCCUCCAAACUGCUUGGCUUGAGUCCGGGAGAGGUGAGUGGAAUUCCCAGUGUAGCGGUGAAAUGCGUAGAUAUCAGGAAGAACACCCGUGGCGAAAGCGGCUCUCUGGGACGGUACUGACGCUGAGACGCGAAAGCGUGGGGAGCGAACAGG